ACACUACUGGUGUGCUGGCUUAGCGCACAGUAUCACAUUUAUCGCAACUUGAAUUGCGCAACAUUUGUUGUACACGUGUGCCAUAUUGUGACUUGUACAUCAUGGAAGAUGAAGUUUGUGACUGUUGCAGUCGACUCAUUAAAACAGUCAUUUUAGUAUAUAAAUUUUGCUUCCAAGAAGAAAGUAAUUGGAAUAGGCAGAUCAACCCCUUUUCUAAAAAAAAUUGUGGACAGUUACAGAAUGGGUUACACCUUCCUAUGAUUACUUCGUACAAAACUGAACUUAAAGACUUGGAAAAUAGUCCGAACUUCUGUGACUCCGUGACGGAUAUUUCCACUAAAAUAUUGUCGCAUGGAACCGAAAUACAAGGUAUGACAGAAAAAGGUAAGUUCACAAGUUGCUAACAAUUUCUUCUUGGUUUACAUUUUCUUCAUAUUGUGUUCGUUCAGUUUUAGUAUAGCUGUCGUACUCAACUGCCAAAUAUUUCACGACCCCCCAUUCGGAUUAUCUAAUAUUCCAGAAAGAACGUUCAGCCACUGGUCCGACUCCAUUCGCGUAAUGCUUGAACAAGACGCAUGCGAUAACGGAAGAUUUUUGCCGAUUGAUGCGCUAGUACUUUGUGUAUCGGACACACCUCCAGAGUUAGUCGUCUCUGGCUCUUCCUGGUAGGUUUGUUCGUACAGCGUAUUGCCUCAUUUUCGUUGUUUCAAUCUAGCCGUACCCGAACGGAUCACACUAUAUUUAUCGUUGUUUGUUUAUAAGAAGCACGUCGAAAUAUUUUCAGAUUUUUUACAUCUUUUUGAGAACUAAACAUUUUAGAUUUUUACUUAUGUUGUCAAAUGUUUGUCUUUCUAAACCAAUGAUUACAAUGAGAAUAAAAAAGUACCAGAAUGGAUGAAUAGGGGAAUUUAAACCCCUGUAACAUGGGACUGCUGACCAGACUUCAGCUACACAUUUUAGUGGAUUGGAUCUGCAGCAUGUGACCAGCUGGACUUCAUGUAAGGCGUGCACUGCUGAUAGAGAUACCGAUCUGUCAUUAAGCAGUGCCUGAGAAAGAAGAAGUGGCCCACCUAAGACGUUAUCCAACACUGAACAAGUUCCUUUCCUGCCGAAGGAGGAGGCUGUCUUCUAUUUCAAGGUUUCGGAUAAUAUGUAGGGACUGAAACAAACCACGAUCAACCUCAGUUAGGAUAGCCGGUUUCUUAACUGACACUCGAAUUCGAGAACUAGUAAAUACGACGAAACCAAGCAUUGUCCUGGAGAAAGUUAGGAAGCAACCAAAAACUAUUCUUGUGUGAGCUUAACAAUGCUCGCGUUUAAAUUCAGUUCCCCGCUUCUUUGGGUUCCCAACAUUUAAUAUAUUACCCGUGACGUCAGUCUGGAUGGAGUUGGUAGGUCUGCAGAAC